GUGGACCUACGGGGCGCAGCAGUGGGGAAUAUUGCACAAUGGGGGAAACCCUGAUGCAGCGACGCCGCGUGAAGGAAGAAGUAUUUCGGUAUGUAAACUUCUAUCAGCAGGGAAGAAAAUGACGGUACCUGACUAAGAAGCCCCGGCUAACUACGUGCCAGCAGCCGCGGUAAUACGUAGGUGGCAAGCGUUGUCCGGAAUUACUGGGUGUAAAGGGAGCGCAGGCGGGAAGCCAAGUCAGCUGUGAAAACUACGGGCUUAACUUGUAGACUGCAGUUGAAACUGGUUUUCUUGAGUGAAGUAGG
rnacentral:rRNA from 1 species